rnacentral:ncRNA from 1 species
GAGAGCCGUAUGCGGGAAAACCGCACGUACGGUUCGGAGAGGGGGGCGUGAGCCGAGUGGCUCACCCCUACCUCUAU